UACGUAGGGCGCAAGCGUUGUCCGGAAUUCUUGGGCGUAAAGAGCUCGUAGGCGGUUUGUCGCGUCUGCUGUGAAAACCUAAGGCUCAACCUUGGGCUUGCAGUGGGUACGGGCAGACUAGAGUGCGGUAGGGGUGACUGGAAUUCCUGGUGUAGCGGUGGAAUGCGCAGAUAUCAGGAGGAACACCGAUGGCGAAGGCAGGUCACUGGGCCGCAACUGACGCUGAGGAGCGAAAGCAUGGGGAGCGAACAGG
rnacentral:rRNA from 1 species